rnacentral:rRNA from 1 species
CACUUCUAAGGAAGGCAGCAGGCGCGCAAAUGACCCAAUCCUGACUCAGGGAGAUAGUGACAAGAAAUAACAAUAAACCGGCUUAUGCCGGUUUAAUUGGAAUGAGUACAAUUUAAACAUCUUAACGAGGAACAAUUGGAGGGCAAGUCUGGUGCCAGCAGCCGCGGUAAUUCCAGCUCCAAUAGCGUAUACUAAAGGUGUUGCAGUUAAAAAGCUCGUAGUUGGAUUUCUGUGGGGACGGGGCGGCCGGCCGCAACUCGCGGUUCGAGCUAGCACUUUCCCUACAUCCUGCCGCGAACCGUGCUACCAUUAGUUUGGUGGCGCUGGGGAUCGGCUCGAUUACUUUGAGAAAAAUAGAGUGUUCAAAGCAGGCCACACGCCUUGAAUAAGUUAGCAUGGAAUAAUAACUAAGGACUUCGGUUAUAUUUUGUUGGUGUUCGAGACUGAAGUAAUGAUUGAUAGGGACAGUUGAGGCGGUCAGUAUUCCAAAGCGAGAGGUGAAAUUCUUAGACCUUCGGAAGAGUAACAGCUGCGAAAGCGUUCCGCAAGGAUGUUCCCUUUGAUCAAGAACGAAAGUUGGGGGAUUGAAGACGAUCAGAUACCGUCGUAGUCUCAACUAUAAACUAUACCAGCUAGGGAUCGGCCAACGUUAUUUAAUACCGACUUGGUCGGCACCUUAUGAGAAAUCAAAGCAUCUGGGUUCCGGGGGGAGUAUGGUCGCAAGGCUGAAACUUAAAGGAAUUGACGGAAGGGCACCACCAGCCGUGGAGCCUGUGGCUUAAUUUGACUCAACACGGGAAAACUUACCAGGUCCAGACAUAGUAAGGAUUGACAGAUUGAUAGCUCUUUCUUGAUUCUGUGGGUGGUGGUGCAUGGCCGUUCUUAGUUGGUGGAGUGAUUUGUCUGGUUAAUUCCGUUAACGAACGAGACCCCAGCCUGCUAAAUAGCGCGUGUGAGCUUUGCUCGCAGCGAGCUUCUUAGAGGGACUAUGAUGCGCGAUAGCACAUGGAAGUUUGGGGCAAUAACAGGUCUGUGAUGCCCUUAGAUGUUCUGGGCCGCACACGGGCUACACUGGCGCCUGCAACGAGCAUAUCAGCUGGCCCGAGAGGGUCUUGGCUAAUCCUUUGAACCGGCGCCGUGCUUGGGAUUGACCUUUGCAAUUGUUGGUCAUGCAACGAGGAAUGCCUUGUAAACGCGAGUCAUCAGCUCGCAUUGAAUACGUCCCUGCCCUUUGUACACACCGCCCGUCGCUCCUACCGAUGAAUGUUCCGAUGAAAUUUUCGGAGAGUGCCUGUGAACUUGGCUCUGCCUUGCGAACGGGAAGCUCAAAGUCACUUAAAUCUGAACAUUUCGAGG